CAUCAGAGUGCAGGGUGUUACAGAGGACUCAAGCUUCAUCGGGUUCCCCUAGCUAGUUCCACGUUGAGCCAGGGCUCCACAGGAAAGGAUAAAGCACUGAAGAUCUGCUGUGAUUAUCA